AAUUGCCAAAAUAAAUUAUUGGAAAGUAAAGCUAUAAGAUAUGGAAUUAAAAUAAUUUAUUUGGAAAUAAAUAAUACGGAAUUUAUCGAGAAUCGAAUGAUUAAGUGAUUGAUGGACUAAAUCGGACAAAAUAAAAGUUAGAAAGUGAAGAAAAAGGAGGUGGCAACUUCAAGGACUAAAAGAGACUCUUUUCCCACUUAUUAUCAUCAAUUAAGAAUGAAUAUUCAUUCAUUCAAAACAGAAAUUGCAGCCAAAAUCCGUAACCCUCCUUCUCCAUUUCUCUCCAAAUUUCACAUGUCCAUAACUUUUUCGUUUCUCAACGAAAUUGAGCGAUUCUUGCGGCCACGGAACGAGAAAACGAUUAUCUACAAAUAUGUGGCAUUAAUUUGAGUGAGUUUAUAAGCUUGAAUUGGAUGCAAAAUGAUGAUGGAGCUAAGGUUUUCAAGGUAAGAUAAUCAAUUUUAGGUUUCAUGGAUAGUAUUCAUGGAUUGAUGAUAGUAAAGAUUAGGGUUUAUGAUGUGUAAUUGGGGUUUUUGUUUGAUUGUGUGUUGUAAGGUGAAAUUGAGCUUGAUUAAAGGGAUUUGAUGGUGAUUGUUCAUACUAGAACCAUUUGACAUAGAGGCAUCGUUCAAGACUCGAAGAAGCGACUAUCGAUAAGGCUCGAGGCGAAUGGAUCGAGAUAUCGUCGUGCUUAUUUAAAGAAUUUGGAUAGCAAGUGGGAUAGCAUGAUAUGAUUUGAAGAGUCAAGCUUCCGAAGUUUUAAUUCUCGGAAGUCAUUUGUACAAGAAGAAAAAGAAAAUUUUCAUUCUAGUAGUCCGCAGUAGUCUAGAUAUUUUAACUAGAAUUUUGUAUAACGCGUUUUUAACUCUGAUAUUAUUUGUAAAUGGGGUCACAUGUAUUUUAAUAUAUGGAAUAUGUUUUGAUU